rnacentral:rRNA from 1 species
UACGUAGGGGGCGAGCGUUGUCCGGAAUCAUUGGGCGUAAAGAGCGUGUAGGCGGCCAGAUAGGUCUGCUGUGAAAACUCGAGGCUCAACCUCGAGCUGUCGGCGGAAACCAUUUGGCUAGAGUCCGGAAGAGGAGACUGGAAUUCCUGGUGUAGCGGUGAAAUGCGCAGAUAUCAGGAGGAACACCGGUGGCGAAGGCGGGUCUCUGGGCCGAUACUGACGCUGAGGAGCGAAAGCGUGGGGAGCGAACAGG